rnacentral:rRNA from 1 species
GAUGAACGCUGGCGGCGUGCCUAAUACAUGCAAGUCGAGCGAACGGACGAGAAGCUUGCUUUUCUGAUGUUAGCGGCGGACGGGUGAGUAACACGUGGAUAACCUACCUAUAAGACUGGGAUAACUUCGGGAAACCGGAGCUAAUACCGGAUAAUAUUUUGAACCGCAUGGUUCAAAAGUGAAAGACGGUCUUGCUGUCACUUAUAGAUGGAUCCGCGCUGCAUUAGCUAGUUGGUAAGGUAACGGCUUACCAAGGCAACGAUGCAUAGCCGACCUGAGAGGGUGAUCGGCCACACUGGAACUGAGACACGGUCCAGACUCCUACGGGAGGCAGCAGUAGGGAAUCUUCCGCAAUGGGCGAAAGCCUGACGGAGCAACGCCGCGUGAGUGAUGAAGGUCUUCGGAUCGUAAAACUCUGUUAUUAGGGAAGAACAUAUGUGUAAGUAACUGUGCACAUCUUGACGGUACCUAAUCAGAAAGCCACGGCUAACUACGUGCCAGCAGCCGCGGUAAUACGUAGGUGGCAAGCGUUAUCCGGAAUUAUUGGGCGUAAAGCGCGCGUAGGCGGUUUUUUAAGUCUGAUGUGAAAGCCCACGGCUCAACCGUGGAGGGUCAUUGGAAACUGGAAAACUUGAGUGCAGAAGAGGAAAGUGGAAUUCCAUGUGUAGCGGUGAAAUGCGCAGAGAUGUGGAGGAACACCAGUGGCGAAGGCGACUUUCUGGUCUGUAACUGACGCUGAUGUGCGAAAGCGUGGGGAUCAAACAGGAUUAGAUACCCUGGUAGUCCACGCCGUAAACGAUGAGUGCUAAGUGUUAGGGGGUUUCCGCCCCUUAGUGCUGCAGCUAACGCAUUAAGCACUCCGCCUGGGGAGUACGACCGCAAGGUUGAAACUCAAAGGAAUUGACGGGGGCCCGCACAAGCGGUGGAGCAUGUGGUUUAAUUCGAAGCAACGCGAAGAACCUUACCAAAUCUUGACAUCCUUUGACAACUCUAGAGAUAGAGCCUUCCCCUUCGGGGGACAAAGUGACAGGUGGUGCAUGGUUGUCGUCAGCUCGUGUCGUGAGAUGUUGGGUUAAGUCCCGCAACGAGCGCAACCCUUAAGCUUAGUUGCCAUCAUUAAGUUGGGCACUCUAAGUUGACUGCCGGUGACAAACCGGAGGAAGGUGGGGAUGACGUCAAAUCAUCAUGCCCCCUAUGAUUUGGGCUACACACGUGCUACAAUGGACAAUACAAAGGGCAGCGAAACCGCGAGGUCAAGCAAAUCCCAUAAAGUUGUUCUCAGUUCGGAUUGUAGUCUGCAACUCGACUACAUGAAGCUGGAAUCGCUAGUAAUCGUAGAUCAGCAUGCUACGGUGAAUACGUUCCCGGGUCU